GAUGAACGCUGGCGGCGUGCCUAAUACAUGCAAGUCGAGCGAACAGAUGAGAAGCUUGCUUCUCUGAUGUUAGCGGCGGACGGGUGAGUAACACGUGGGUAACCUACCUAUAAGACUGGGAUAACUCCGGGAAACAGGGGCUAAUACCGGAUAAUAUUUUGAACCGCAUGGUUCAAUAGUGAAAGACGGUUUCGGCUGUCACUUAUAGAUGGACCCGCGCCGUAUUAGCUGGUUGGUAAGGUAACGGCUUACCAAGGCGACGAUACGUAGCCGACCUGAGAGGGUGAUCGGCCACACUGGAACUGAGACACGGUCCAGACUCCUACGGGAGGCAGCAGUAGGGAAUCUUCCGCAAUGGGCGAAAGCCUGACGGGGCAACGCCGCGUGAGUGAUGAAGGUCUUCGGAUCGUAAAACUCUGUUGUUAGGGAAGAACAAACUUGUUAGUAACUGAACAAGUCUUGACGGUACCUAACCAGAAAGCCACGGCUAACUACGUGCCAGCAGCCGCGGUAA
rnacentral:rRNA from 1 species